GACCCAUGAUGUGAUUAUAGUAUUUGCUACUCUUGAUGGGAAGCACCAGUUGAUGAAUACUAUCCACCAAGAUCUCUGAGGUC